rnacentral:rRNA from 1 species
UACGUAGGGGGGCGAGCGUUGUCCGGAUUUAUUGGGCGUAAAGAGCGUGUAGGCGGCCAGGUAGGUCUGCUGUGAAAACUCGAGGCUCAACCUCGAGACGUCGGCGGAAACCAUCUGGCUAGAGUCCGGAAGAGGAGAGUGGAAUUCCUGGUGUAGCGGUGGAAUGCGCAGAUAUCAGGAGGAACACCAAUGGCGAAGGCAGCUCGCUGGGACGGUACUGACGCUGAGGUGCGAAAGCGUGGGGAGCAAACAGG